rnacentral:rRNA from 1 species
UACGAAGGGGGCUAGCGUUGCUCGGAAUCACUGGGCGUAAAGGGCGCGUAGGCGGCUUAUCAAGUCGGGGGUGAAAGCCCGAGGCUCAACCUCGGAACUGCCUUCGAUACUGCGGGUCUCGAGUCCGGGAGAGGUGAGUGGAAUUCCUAGUGUAGAGGUGAAAUUCGUAGAUAUUAGGAAGAACACCAGUGGCGAAGGCGGCUCACUGGCCCGGUACUGACGCUGAGGCGCGAAAGCGUGGGGAGCAAACAGG